rnacentral:rRNA from 1 species
AACCUCCGCAAUGUGAGAAAUCGCGACGGGGGGAUCCCAAGUGCCAUUCUUAACGGGAUGGCUUUUCAUUAGUGUAAAGAGCUUUUGGAAUAAGAGCUGGGCAAGACCGGUGCCAGCCGCCGCGGUAACACCGGCAGCUCUAGUGGUAACAAUUUUUAUUGGGCCUAAAGCGUCCGUAGCCGGUUUAAUAAGUCUCUGGUGAAAUCCUGUAGCUUAACUGUGGGAAUUGCUGGAGAUACUAUUAGACUUGAGACCGGGAGAGGUUAGAGGUACUCCCAGGGUAGAGGUGAAAUUCUGUAAUCCUGGGAGGACCGCCUGUUGCGAAGGCGUCUAACUGGAACGGUUCUGACGGUGAGGGACGAAAGUUAGGGGCGCGAACCGGAUUAGAUACCCGGGUAGUCCUAACUGUAACGAUGCGGACUUGGUGUUGGGGUGGCUUUGAGCUGCUCCAGUGCCGAAGGGAAGCUGUUAAGUCCGCCGCAUGGGAAGUACGGUCGCAAGACUGAAACUUAAAGGAAUU